rnacentral:rRNA from 1 species
CAGCCGCCGCGGUAAUACGAGGGGGGCAAGCGUUGUUCGGAAUUAUUGGGCGUAAAGGGUGCGCAGGCGGUUCGUUAAGACAGAUGUGAAAUCCCCGGGCUUAACCUGGGAACUGCAUUUGUGACUGGCGAGCUAGAGUAUGGCAGAGGGGGGUAGAAUUCCACGUGUAGCAGUGAAAUGCGUAGAGAUGUGGAGGAAUACCGAUGGCGAAGGCGACUCUCUGGUCUGUAACUGACGCUGAGGAGCGAAAGCGUGGGGAGCGAACAGGAUUAGAUACCCCAGUAGUCCCUGUCUCUUAUAC